rnacentral:rRNA from 1 species
GGAAGGAGCAAGCUAUGAAAGCAUCUAAGCGUGAAGCACAACGUAAGAGGAGAUUUGCCAUCGCGUAAGAGAGUAAGACCCGUGGAAGACGAGAAGGGUGAGAGGUUGGAGGUGUAAGUACAGUAAUGUAUUCAGCUGACCAAUACUAAUAGGUCGAGGGCUUGAUCAAAUU